rnacentral:tRNA from 1 species
GGGGACGUCGUUUAGCCUGGCAAGACCCGUGACUGUCGAUCACGUGAUCGUGGGUUCAAAUCCCAUCGUCCCCGCCA